CACAGACAGCGAGCUUGUGUGGAACAAAGAAAGCCUACCAGCAAAAGGAAUAAAUCACUAACAAACACCUGAAGCAACUAAAAAACUCAAAGGCACCCCUCAGUUUCCGGUCAGAUGCAACUGCUCUCAGCCUCUCUGCACUUCCAGUGGUGAUAGAUGAGCCAGGUGGCACGCUAUCAUCCCAUGGAGGGGGGAAAGAGGCAGAAUUGCUGUUCCAUCAUUUCUGGUGACCUUACAUGCCUGAUUAUGCUGCUGCACAUCCCCUUGCGCCUUCUUUCCACCACCUUCAUUUGCAUAAAUGUGCUUAAUGAUCACAUUCUCUCAAGAAUGCCUGCUGAACACUUCCCCAGUGAGGUGUUCUGUGCAUGUCCCACCAGGAAGAGACCCCGUGGAUGACCCAAGACAUAGUGAAGAGAUUUUGUUCCGUAAACACUUUGUGAACUCCCCAGAAAAGAUGGAUGAAGUCCUGGAUACCAGAAGUGAAUGAAUGGAUUUUUAAAAUGAAAAUGUGAUGGGCUCCACGACUCCCGCUAAGAAAAUGGAUGGAUGGAUGGAUGGA